GCCAGCUCCAUGAGGUCUUACUCAUCCAACUCAACUACCACCUGCCUAACCUCCUCUCCCAUCACUCCCCAAACGGGGCCCCUCUGUCUAGCCAGGCUGGUCUGAUUGUCCCAGACACUCUCAGUGCCAACUCGUUGCUGAUGCUGUUCACAGCUCCCCACAGGAAAUGCCUUCUGACCACCACUGUGAAUUCUACUUCUCUAAAAUUCUGCUCAAUCUCACCCUCCUCCGUGAACCCCCUUCUCAUCUAGAGAGUGGUAACAGCAAUGCCUGCUUCACAGAUUCAAUGGGGAUCAUCAAGUUCAGAUGCACAAGUCAGUCUCAGAGCAUGGACCAGCUUGUAGUCCACUGGGUGCUGCCUGCCACUGUUACUGAGCUGUUUGACACCUACGUGUUGCACCUUGGAGAAGUCAGCGUUCUCCUGAAGACCGGAUCCUACUCUGUGCCUCUCACUUCCUGACACAGCGCCAGUCAGAGCAGGUGCUCAAAGGACACUUAUUAAUUUUAGAGAAUGAGUGAAGAAAACAAGACUGAAUAAAUGCUUUUAGGAAACCAGAUUUUGCAUAUUUUAUAUGAAGAAAACACUAAAUGGUAAAUAAGACAAAUUCCUAAUGGUAGAAGGAGAUGGCAUGUAAAUAGCAACAUAAGCAGAGAACAUUGCAAUUUAUUCUCGUGCAGCAUCUUUUAUUCAAAAUAUUACCAGACAUUUGCUGAAAAGAGUCUGUUGUACCAAGGGCAGAUGACUCACUGCAAUAUUUUAGUCACAUUUGAUGAUGGACGUGAGACUCUCCCGAGAUGUCUUUUUACCAGGCUGAGACCCAGCAAAUGAUCAGUAGACAAGAAACCAGUGGUGCGGGAAAUUCACAGUAGAAAACAAGCCUCAGAGUUUAACCAGACAACAUGAUCAAUGCGGAACCGAGGAGAGCCUCUUGUAGCUCAAUGUCCCAGCGACGUGAAGCACUGAUGACCUGGGAUUCCAGGAAGCGGGCUCAGCGAGGCUCGUUCAGUCUCCCAGGGCUUGCUGGAUGACUGCCUUAUUUCUGGGGCACCAGAGGAUUGGAAUUGAUUUAAGUUGUGCUGCUAUUGUUCUGCAAGGAACCUGAGGGGCAAAUUCAUUCUGGAUAAAUCCCCACACAGGCAGCAUCUACACGUCACUAACAAAAGACGUAUUUAGUGUGUUCACCUGGGAAACGAUUAAAGUUUGAAAUAUUUGUAUUCGUCUUGUAAAAGACUGGUCUCGUUAUUCAGUUCUGAAUUCCCUACCACUGAUUGCAAGAAAGCAGUAAUAAGAGAUUAGUUUUCUAACCGCCAAUGCCCCUCCCCUUUCCCACUUCUCCAGAAAUAUUAUUCAACUAAACUACCAUCAGCAGGAAAAUAGAGAAGAGAAGGAACCUUCUGGAAUAUUUUUAUUCAGCAGAGUGAGAUUUAUGCAUGAGAUGCAAAUUACUAUGCAUUAUUUACCCAUCCGAGGAGAAACAAAUCUUGAAUGUAA
rnacentral:lncRNA from 1 species